rnacentral:rRNA from 1 species
UACGUAGGGGGCAAGCGUUGUCCGGAUUUACUGGGCGUAAAGAGCGUGUAGGCGGCCAAGCAGGUCCGUUGUGAAAACUGGAGGCUUAACCUCCAGACGUCGACGGAAACCGCGUGGCUAGAGUCCGGAAGAGGAGAGUGGAAUUCCUGGUGUAGCGGUGAAAUGCGCAGAUAUCAGGAAGAACACCAAUGGCGAAGGCGGCAUCCUGGACCAACACUGACGCUGAGUGAGCGAAAGCCAGGGGAGCAAACGGG